AAAGAAAAUUGGUCCAAAGAAAGUGCAAAAUUAUCAGAGGGCAGUCACUACAAUUCUUUUUUCUUCUGUUUUCACAUCUGUUCAAUCAAUAUCAGCUCCUGGCCUCAAGGCAGUGUGACCUAGCAGCAAGAGCCCUAGGAAGCUGGGGAUCAGAGGACAGUGUUGCAUGCUGCCUUUGCCUUUAACCAGGGGCACCGUCUCACAGCAAACCUUUAACUUCUCUGGGUCAGGGAGCUCCUUUGUCAACAAAACAGGGUCCUGCCUACCCAUCUGACGACAUGUCUGCUCAUCACCCAUGUGCAUCCUGUCACAGUGGGACCUGCGUGUGUUCCCUGCUCAUUGUUACUUCCAUGGUUUUGCUGAUUCUAUGCGAUCCUUCCAGGCCACUCCAAGUUCCACCUCUUCCAUGAAGCCCUCCUUGAUUGCUGGGCCCGGGUUGAACUUCUUAUUAGUAACACCCAGGAACUUUCCAUAAUAGAAAUUAAAAGAAGAAAUGAGGUAGGACAACUGGGAUAAGCAGAAGACAAGAGUGGACUCACAGCCUCUCCUCCACAGAUUCUGGAGAGCCAGGGCCCUGCAUGUUUUCUUCGGGAAGGCUGUGCAGUCUGCUCUGAGGAGACAGAUCAACCUAGCCCUUCUCCAGGAUGAACUCCGAAAACCACAGGUAUUCACGUUCAGAGGAUGACGCAUCUCAGAAUCAGAUCUAUUGAACUGCAUGACUUCCACUCAGCCCUGAUGUUCGUGGAUGCUGACAUCAUUUUUACAAGCAUUUGCUGCCUGGACAUAGAGACAAUCAUUGACAUCUACAUGGCAUAGCCCAUUUCUGUUCCAGAAAGAGCCAAAGCUAAACAGCACUGGCUACAAGACAAGCAACAUCGAAACAAUUGCAGCUCAUCUGCUGCCGGACGCUGACUAGUUGACUCCCUGUUCCACCAGCCAGAACUAAAGCCUUGACUGGACAAGAGGCUGAUUUCAGUCACUUUCUCCUUCAUGUGUCUUCAUGUCUUUGCUUCACCUUUUGAUGUGUGGCCUUUAGUGAGCCAGUGGCUCUGAUUUAUGUGGUCAGAUUCUGAGCCGGCAGACACAAAGGUGUGGCAGGACUGGAGAUUCUGCAUAGGUCUGUGUGUGAUGGGCUUUAUGAAUGCAUCUAUUUAAUGUACUCCAAGCCAAUUCUUAAUGAAGCAUGACACAGCCAAAUAUGAAAGGAGCUCAUUAUUGAUACUUUUUAUGGACCGAAUUGCGUUCUCCUGAAAAGGUAGACAUCAAUGCAGUAGAAUUGAGAGUUCAGAAAUAAACCGAUAAAUCUAUAGUCAAAAAUUUUUUGACAACUGUCACAAGACCAUUCAAUGAGGGCAAGAAGAGUCUUUCCAAAAAAUGAUAUAGAACAACUGGAUAGCCAAUACAGAAGAAUGGAAUUGGACCUGUACCUCACACCAUGUGCAAAAAUUAACUCAAAAUGGAUUAAUGACCCAAAUUUAAGAGCUAAAACCAUAGAAAUACUAAAAGAAAACAUACAGAGAGCAGAUGGUUGAUCUGGUGCCAAUUUGCCCAAUGUGGUAGCUACGUAGCAAUAAAAUUCCAAGACUGGCACAAGGAGGGCCUGGUUGCAGGUGAGUGCUGGCCUGAGAAAACAGAAAAAAAGAAAAUCUGCAAGCUGCAGCAAUUGAUUAGAUGUGAAGAUGGGGAGAAUGAAUCCAGAUGCCCUUCCUUGAGCUGCAGGAUUUCAGUGAAACUUGUGGGGCUACAGGCACUUUCAAAGGCUUGACACCAGACCAAUGGCCUUCUUAGAACACUGUCAUCAUUGAUUCUGUAUCUACAGAAGUCAUGUAACUGUGGCUGCCUCUUUUCAAUGGAAACAGAGCGAAAUGAAACGUGGUCAGCUAAAUCGUGCUGACCUUAAAAACACUACAUCCUCUUAGGCAAUCACUUUGGCGUAUAAACCACAUGUACAAUAUUCCUGCUACUUCAAACACGACUUUUUUAAUGAGCCAAAAAGAAUCUAGGUUCGUAAAUAAACCGAAUUCAUUGCCAUAAUGUUUCUACUCUAUAAUGAAAAUAGCUACUCAUCAAUGGAGCAUUUAUGCUUGUUUUCAUCAUUAAAGCAUGUCGUUUCAUUAAACCACUCUGUAGCAGACCACCACUGGAUGCUUCACACUUGAUAUUGAUUAUUUAACUAAUCACGUUUACUAAACUGGUCUAUCUUUCCCCGCUUCUUCUGGUUGGAUUUCAUGCUGUCUGGGAGGACACAAAACCCCCUUGCACAUUUGUUUUUAAUGAAGGAGAAGUUAAGGAAGAUCAUUGUGUGAGGGUAGAGACAAAUGACAAUGGCAAAACUCAAAGAGAAUAGAAGGAAGGUCACCAGCGAGAUUACCCGUCGGUCUGCACAAGCAUGACAACAAACCAUCAGCGAUUAGCGUUAGAACAAAAACAGCAUCCUAUGUAAACGACAAGGCCACGCAAACACACUAAGUUGGCCCUCCAGGGAUCCGGAUGGGCAGAGAACACUUAGAUAAUCCUGUCAGAGGGAGUUGUUGGAAUUAAAGAACCAGCUUCUCUUUGGUUCCAGGAACACUUGCUGUCGAAGGCCAAGCUGGGAAACUGAUGAAUAAAAGAGAUACCUACCAGCAUAUAAACAAACAAGACUGAAUUAUUUUUGUGAGUCAUUGUGUGUUCACGUUUUAAUGAUUUGAUAAAAGAAUUUCAAAACUAAUUAUGCCUAGCUGUUAAGAAGCUAAUUUUAUAUUUUAAACCUCUGCCAAUUUACCAGUAACUAAGAAGGCAAGCACCAAGACACAUACAUAAUCAUGUAGUUUUAUAUCAUCAUGGUAUGGUAGUAAGUUACAUCCAGUAUAUAUUAUGGUACAUAUGAAUUUAUGUAUAAAUACAUUCUCAGAGUCUUUUACUACUUAUUAUUUAUAAACUGUAAUUGUGAAUUGAUCCUUCUUUUGUUUAUUAAUAUUAUCAUCAAUUAAAGUUUAUUAAGCCAAAUUUUUCCAA